UGGGGAAUCUUGGACAAUGGGGCGAAAAGCCUGAUCCAGCAAUGCCGCGUGUGUGAAGAAGGCCUUCGGGUUGUAAAGCACUUUUGUCCGGAAAGAAAUCCUUGGGCUCUAAUACAGUCGGGGGAUGACGGUACCGGAAGAAUAAGCACCGGCUAACUACGUGCCAGCAGCCGCGGUAAUACGUAGGGUGCAAGCGUUAAUCGGAAUUACUGGGCGUAAAGCGUGCGCAGGCGGUUUGCUAAGACCGAUGUGAAAUCCCCGGGCUCAACCUGGGAACUGCAUUGGUGACUGGCAGGCUAGAGUAUGGCAGAGGGGGGUAGAAUUCCACGUGUAGCAGUGAAAUGCGUAGAGAUGUGGAGGAAUACCGAUGGCGAAGGCAGCCCCCUGGGCCAAUACUGACGCUCAUGCACGAAAGCGUGGGGAGCAAACAGGAUUAGAUACCCUGGUAGUCCACGCCCUAAACGAUGUCAACUAGUUGUUGGGGACUUCAUUUCCUUAGUAACGUAGCUAACGCGUGAAGUUGACCGCCU
rnacentral:rRNA from 1 species